AUUGAACGCUGGCGGCAGGCCUAACACAUGCAAGUCGAACGGUAGCACAGAGAGCUUGCUCUCGGGUGACGAGUGGCGGACGGGUGAGUAACGUCUGGGAAACUGCCCGAUGGAGGGGGAUAACUACUGGAAACGGUAGCUAAUACCGCAUAACGUCGCAAGACCAAAGUGGGGGACCUUCGGGCCUCACACCAUCGGAUGUGCCCAGAUGGGAUUAGCUAGUAGGUGGGGUAAUGGCUCACCUAGGCGACGAUCCCUAGCUGGUCUGAGAGGAUAACCAGCCACACUGGAACUGAGACACGGUCCAGACUCCUACGGGAGGCAGCAGUGGGAAUAUUGCACAAUGGGCGCAAGCCUGAUGCAGCCAUGCCGCGUGUAUGAAGAAGGCCUUCGGGUUGUAAAGUACUUUCAGCGGGGAGGAAGGCGGUGAAGUUAAUAGCUUCACCGAUUGACGUUACCCGCAGAAGAAGCACCGGCUAACUCCGUGCCAGCCGCCGCCGUAA
rnacentral:rRNA from 1 species